UACAGAGGUCUCAAGCGUUGUUCGGAUUCAUUGGGCGUAAAGGGUGCGUAGGUGGCGGGGUUAGUCAGGUGUGAAAUCUCGGGGCUCAACCCCGAAACUGCACUCGAUACUGCCUUGCUAGAGUACUGGAGAGGAGAUUGGAAUUUACGGUGUAGCAGUGAAAUGCGUAGAUAUCGUAAGGAAGACCAGUGGCGAAGGCGAAUCUCUGGACAGUUACUGACACUGAGGCACGAAGGUCAGGGGAGCAAACGGG
rnacentral:rRNA from 1 species